rnacentral:tRNA from 1 species
AGAUAUUAGUUUAUUAAAAUAUUAAUUUUGGAGAUUAAAGAUAGGAUAUUUCUAUAUCUGAA